ensembl:lncRNA novel transcript
AGAGCCUGUUUUCUCUCCGUUUACAGAUGGGCCAACGUUGCUUGGGUGGUUGGUUUACUGGCUUUUCACACAACUGAGCUCCAGGAAAAUACACCUGUUGUUGAGUGUUCUCAGGCGCUGUGGUCUCACCUUCCACUGGGGCAACAAUGGGCCAUUUCCAGCAGGGACGGCGCAGUGUUGGCCUGCAUGCCUGACUGCCACACACCUCCAGAAUCAGGUGUCUGAAAAAUGGAUGGUUUCUAGUGUGCUUCCAAACCCCACCUCGGCUGAGUGUUGGGCAGCACUUCUACAUGAUCCUAUGACUCUUGAUAUGGACGCAGUCCUGUCAGACUUUGUUCGGUCCACGGGGGCAGAACCUGGUCUGGCCAGAGACCUGCUGGAAGCAAUGUUCACAGCAUCUUUACCGGGAGCAGAUUCCAUCUCAAGAAACCACUUCCUUUGCUCAUCCAUAAGAAGCAACUCCCCAACUUGAGAUUGUAGCAAUUUAGUCACAUCUUCAGACUCCACUUCUAAUUCCAGUUCUCUUCCACGACAUCUGCAGUUAAUUCUUCCACUGAAGUCUUGGACCCCACAAAGUCAUCCAUGAGAGUUGGAAUCCACUUCUUACAACCUCCUGUUAAUGUCGAUAAUUUGACCUCCUCCCAUGAAUCAU